UACGUAGGGUGCAAGCGUUGUCCGGAAUUAUUGGGCGUAAAGAGCUCGUAGGCGGUCUGUCGCGUCGGCUGUGAAAACCCGGAGCUCAACUCCGGGCCUGCAGUCGAUACGGGCAGACUGGAGUUCGGCAGGGGAGACUGGAAUUCCUGGUGUAGCGGUGAAAUGCGCAGAUAUCAGGGGGAACACCGGUGGCGAAGGCGGGUCUCUGGGCCGAUACUGACGCUGAGGAGCGAAAACGUGGGGAGCGAACAGG
rnacentral:rRNA from 1 species